UACGUAGGUGGCAAGCGUUAUCCGGAAUUAUUGGGCGUAAAGAGCGCGCAGGUGGUUGAUUAAGUCUGAUGUGAAAGCCCACGGCUUAACCGUGGAGGGUCAUUGGAAACUGGUCGACUUGAGUGCAGAAGAGUGAAGUGGAAUUCCAUGUGUAGCGGUGAAAUGCGUAGAGAUAUGGAGGAACACCAGUGGCGAAGGCGGCUUCCUGGUCUGUAACUGACACUGAGGCGCGAAAAGCGUGGGGAGCAAACCAGGAUUAGAUA
rnacentral:rRNA from 1 species